rnacentral:rRNA from 1 species
GACGAACGCUGGCGGCGUGCUUAACACAUGCAAGUCGAACGGAAAGGCCCUGCUUUUGUGGGGUGCUCGAGUGGCGAACGGGUGAGUAACACGUGAGUAACCUGCCCUUUACUUUGGGAUAACUUCAGGAAACUGGGGCUAAUACCGGAUAGGAGCUCCUGCUGCAUGGUGGGGGUUGGAAAGUUUCGGCGGUUGGGGAUGGACUCGCGGCUUAUCAACUUGGUGGUGGGGUAGUGGCUUACCAAGGCUUUGACGGGUAGCCGGCCUGAGAGGGGGACCGGCCACAUUGGGACUGUGAUACGGCCCAGACUCCUACGGGAGGCAGCAGUGGGGAAUCUUGCCCAAUGGGCGGAAGCCUGAUGCAGCAACGCCGCGUGCGGGAUGACGGCCUUCGGGUUGUAAACCGCUUUCGCCUGUGACGAAGCGUGAGUGACGGUAAUGGGUAAAGAAGCACCGGCUAACUACGUG